rnacentral:rRNA from 1 species
AGAGCGAACGCUGGCGGCAGGCCUAACACAUGCAAGUCGAGCGCCCGUAGCAAUACGGGAGCGGCAGACGGGAUAGUAACACGUGGGAACGCGCCCUUCGGUUCGGAAUAACUCAGGGAAACUUGAGCUAAUACCGGAUACGCCCUUACGGGGAAAGAUUUAUUGCCGAAGGAACGGCCCGCGUCCGAUUAGCUAGUUGGUGAGGUAAUGGCUCACCAAGGCGACGAUCGGUAGCUGGUCUGAGAGGAUGACCAGCAUCACUGGGACUGAGACACGGCCCAGACUCCUACGGGAGGCAGCAGUGGGGAAUAUUGGACAAUGGGCGCAAGCCUGAUCCAGCCAUGCCGCGUGGAUGAUGAAGGCCCUAGGGUUGUAAAGUCCUUUUAACGGGGAAGAUAAUGACGGUACCCGUAGAAUAAGCCCGGCUAACUUCGCGCCAGCAGCCGC